AUUAAAAUAACCUGAGAAGUAUAAUAUUUUUAAAAAACCUAAUAUACACUGGCAGCAUUUCAACUUAUUAGAGGAACAUGUCUUAUAAUCGAAAAUACACGUUAAAUUUUACUUACUUUAAUAUUUUAUAUACCUCCGUAUAGACUUUUUUUAAAAAUUCUUUCAAAAAAACCUUCUAACAAAAUAGGUAAAGGUGUAAACAACAAGUAAGAUAAUGAUGUGUUACAAUAAAUUUUAUUUAAAAUUAAAUUUUUAAAAAAAAUGAAAUGCAGAAUUUAAAAGUAAUAACCAAAUAAAAAUUAUUUAUGAAUAAGAUAAUAAAUGUGC
rnacentral:rRNA from 1 species